UACGAGAGGUGCAAGCGUUGUUCGGAAUUAUUGGGCGUAAAGCGCACGUAGGCGGGUCUGUAUGUCGAUUGUGAAAUCCCCGGGCUCAACCCGGGAAGUGCAUUGGAAACUGCGAGACUAGAGUCCCGGAGAGGAAGGUGGAAUUCCAGGUGUAGCGGUGAAAUGCGUAGAUAUCUGGAAGAACACCGGUGGCGAAGGCGGCCAUCUGGACCGCAACUGACGCUGAGGCG
rnacentral:rRNA from 1 species